GAUGAACGCUGGCGGCGUGCUUAACACAUGCAAGUCGAACGAAACACCUUAUUUGAUUUUCUUCGGAACUGAAGAUUUGGUGAUUGAGUGGCGGACGGGUGAGUAACGCGUGGGUAACCUGCCCUGUACAGGGGGAUAACAGUCAGAAAUGACUGCUAAUACCGCAUAAGACCACAGCACCGCAUGGUGCAGGGGUAAAAACUCCGGUGGUACAGGAUGGACCCGCGUCUGAUUAGCUGGUUGGUGAGGUAACGGCUCACCAAGGCGACGAUCAGUAGCCGGCUUGAGAGAGUGAACGGCCACAUUGGGACUGAGACACGGCCCAAACUCCUACGGGAGGCAGCAGUGGGGAAUAUUGCACAAUGGGGGAAACCCUGAUGCAGCGACGCCGCGUGAGUGAAGAAGUAUCUCGGUAUGUAAAGCUCUAUCAGCAGGGAAGAAAAUGACGGUACCUGACUAAGAAGC
rnacentral:rRNA from 1 species